GGGCGCAGUAGUCCAGGGUUUCCUUGAUGAUGUCAUACUUAUCCUGUCCCUUUUUUUUCCACAGCUCGCGGUUGAGGACAAACUCUUCGCGGUCUUUCCACAGGUAAGUUGGAAGCAUGUAGAACCUUGGAUCCGAUAUCCGUACACCAUCAGGGUACGAGCUAGCCCAUGGCGUACACCAUCAGGGUACGACUAGUAGAUCUCGUACACCAUCAGGGUACGGAAUUCU
rnacentral:misc_RNA from 1 species